rfam:Pongo abelii chromosome 4.
UUCCUUUCAGCAGCAAAUAUACUAAAAUUGGAAUGAUACAAAGAAGAUUAGCUUGGCCCCUGGGCAAGGAUGACACGCAAAUUCGUGAAGCAUUUUAUAUUUAA